rnacentral:rRNA from 1 species
AGCAGCCGCGGUAAUUCCAGCUCCAAUAGCGUAUAUUAAAGUUGUUGCAGUUAAAAAGCUCGUAGUUGAAUUUCGGGAUCAGUACGCUGGUCGUGCCUUUGGUAUGUACUGGUGUCACUGAUUCCUCCCUUCUGAAGAACCGUUAUGCCAUUUAUUUGGUGUGGCGGGGAAUCAGGACUGUUACUUUGAAAAAAUUAGAGUGUUUAAAGCAGGCUCGCGCUUGAAUACAUUAGCAUGGAAUAAUGAAAUAGGACGUUUGAUCUUAUUUUGUUGGUUUCUAGGAUCGACGUAAUGAUUAAUAGGGAUAGUUGGGGGCAUUAGUAUUCAAUUGUCAGAGGUGAAAUUCUUGGAUUUAUUGAAGACUAACUACUGCGAAAGCAUUUGCCAAGGAUGUUUUCAUUAAUCAAGAACGAAAGUUAGGGGAUCGAAGACGAUCAGAUACCGUCGUAGUCUUAACCAUAAACUAUGCCGACUAG